UCUUAUGGAACCAGUUUUCUCAACUGAGGGUC
rnacentral:piRNA from 1 species